AAUCCCGCUGGUUCGAACAACUAUGACCUGAUUUGCCGAUGUUGCUUCGAGCUAAAGUUAGGUGUAAAUCUUACAUUCUAUUCACGAGAGUUUAAGUUUAUAAUACUAGUCUUGUCAUAACUUUAUAUUUUUAAUGCUAAACAUUCAGAAGGGGUGUUUUAACUCGUAGGACAUGUUUGGUUCAAAAUGAAAAUAAAUAUUAAAAAUAGAAAUCAGAAUGGACUGGAAUUGAAACAGAAUGAUAAAAUCUUUAAUUUGUUUCGUCGGUAAAAAGAAUCAUAGUCAUAAUCAUGUUUAAAAUAAAAUUCAAAAAGAUUAAAUUUUAGUUGAAAUUAAAUUUAUUAUUCAAAUUCGUAAUCACAAUUUAAACUUAAAAUUUAAAUUUAUAAUUCCAAUUUAAAUUCAAAGUCAAGGCUUAAAUAUAAAACUAAAAUUCAAAUAUCAAACUUAUAUUAGAAUUUAAACUUGAAUUUAAAAAACUUAAUUUUGAAUUCAUAAUUCAAUUAUAUAUAUAAAUUUGUAAUUUAAAAUCGAAUAUAAAUUAAUGCUUGAAUGUAAAUAAUUAUUGUGCAAAAUAAUUCUUUUCUCAAAGCAUAUUCCUUCCUUGCUAAACCAUUUUAAAGGGAUUCCGUUCUCUCCGAAAUAAAAAUCAGAAUACCCAUCCCUCGAUCCUCAUUUCAGGCGUCAAAUCCUUCAAACCAAAUAUGCUUUUAAGGUGUGUUUGGUUCGAAGUCGGAAUCGGUAUCGAAAUUGGAAUGAGAAUAAGCUGCAAACAAAUUAGAAUGAUUUAUUAUCUCAUUAUAUUUGGUUCGCCAUCUGAAUUAGAAUCGAAAUGAACUAUUUCAUUAUCUAUGUUUGGUUCAGAUAGAUAUCAGAAAUAUAAUCAAAUUAAUAUGUCAAUUUUAUCUUUAUAAUAUAUUAAUUUAAACUUAAACUGAAAAUUAAAUAUUAAAAAUUUACGUCAAAAUUUUAAAAUGAUGUUAAAAUUUUAAAUAUAUUUUUUAAAAAAUUAAAAAUUAAAAUUGAACUGAUAAUUCAAAAUAUAAAACUAAAUUUUGAUUUAUUCAAAUUCAAACUUAAAAUUAUAAUUUAAAUUUCAAUUUGAAUCGAUAAAUUUAAUUUAAAUUUUAAAUAAAAUUUGAAUAAAAUUUUAGAUUUUAAAUUAAAUUUAAAUUUAACUUCAAAUUUAUAAAUUAGAUUCGAAAUGCUUAAUUAAAUUUUAAUUCUUAAUUUAAGUUCAAAUUAAAAUUAAAAUUUAUAAAUAUUUUUUUUAUCUUAAACUUUUGUUUUAAUUAAAAAAUAAAUUUUAAAAAAUUAAAUUUAAUCCAAACAAAUCCGUUCUGCCAGAAUUCGAUUUCCACUCGGGCAUCCUACGCCGAAUUAGAAAAAAGAGUAAUUGGAGGGGUUCCCAUUUACCCAGGAAUCAAAAUCGAGAUAAAAAUUCCACGUAUUAAAUAUGAACAAACAGAUUCGUCCAUUCCAGUCCCAGGAUGAAAAGGGAUGGAC
rnacentral:lncRNA from 1 species